rnacentral:misc_RNA from 1 species
UGAAUUGGGAGAUGAACACAUGCCUAUAUAUGGGUAGUUACCUUGUUAUUUUGACCGGAAAACUAUUGCCUCCAGAAAACAAACAUAUAUUGUGGCAGCAUAAAUACCCUGAAAGAAAGAAUCAAAAUGUUGAAAUAUUUUUUUUUCCUCUGCACCAUAUGAGGCCCAUUCAUCCACCAUGGAAAUUAAGAAAUCAUAGGAAUAGGAUUCACCCUCUUUCAAUUUCAGCUGAAGAUAUGUUGCAGGGUUUUCUGAAACAAAUCUAAAGUUGAGGGAUUUUAUUUUAACAAA